rnacentral:ncRNA from 2 species
CUCUUAUCCAGAGUGGUGGAGGGACUGGCCCGAUGAAACCCGGCAACCGCCUGUAAAGGAAUGGUGCCAAAUCCUGCAGGGAUGAUUCCUGGGAGAUAAGAG